GCGGAUUUAGCUCAUCCGGUAGAGCGUCGGCUUCCCAAGCCGAAUGGGCGGGUUCGAGUCCCGUAAUCCGCUCCA
rnacentral:tRNA from 1 species